rnacentral:rRNA from 1 species
GACGAACGCUGGCGGCGUGCUUAACACAUGCAAGUCGUACGGUAAGGCCCUUUCGGGGGUCCACGAGUGGCGAACGGGUGAGUAACACGUGAGUAACCUGCCCACAACUUUGGGAUAACGCUAGGAAACUGGUGCUAAUACUGGAUAUGUGCUCCUGCUGCAUGGUGGGGGUUGGAAAGCUCCGGCGGUUGUGGAUGGACUCGCGGCCUAUCAGCUUGUUGGUGGGGUAGUGGCCUACCAAGGCGGCGACGGGUAGCCGGCCUGAGAGGGUGACCGGCCACAGUGGGACUGAGAUACGGCCCAGACUCCUACGGGAGGCAGCAGUGGGGAAUAUUGCACAAUGGGCGCAAGCCUGAUGCAGCAACGCCGCGUGCGGGAUGACGGCCUUCGGGUUGUAAACCGCUUUCAGCAGGGACGAAGCUUUUUGUGACGGUACCUGCAGAAGAAGCACCGGCUAACUACGUG